CCUACGGGAGGCAGCAGUCGAGAAUCAUUCACAAUGGGGGAAACCCUGAUGGUGCGACGCCGCGUGGGGGAAUGAAGGUCUUCGGAUUGUAAACCCCUGUCGUGGGGGAGCAAAUUAAAAAGAUAGUAGCACAAGAGGAAAAGAGGGGUAACACUGUGCCAGAAGCCGCUGUAAUACCGAGGUCUCAAGCGUUGUACGGAAUCAAUGGGCGUAAAGCGUGCGUAGGCUGGUUCGUAAGGCGUGUGUGAAAGGCGCGGGCCAAACCCGCGUCCGGCACAUGAUACUGCGAGACUAGAGUGAGGGAGGGGGAACCGGAAUGCUCGGUGUAGCAGUGAAAUGCGUAGAUAUCGAGAGGAACACUCGUGGCGAAGGCGGGUUCCUGGACAUUAACUGACGCUGAGGCACGAAGGCCAGGGGAGCGAAAGGGAUUAGAUACCCGAGUAGUC
rnacentral:rRNA from 1 species